UUUUAACAAUGUUAUUCAUCCUUAUUAAACAGGAUCUCUCCCAGUGUGUUACAUGCCAAGAAAAGCACAUUACUGUGAAAAAAGAGCCACAUGAAUCUCUGGGAAUGACAGUGGCAGGAGGCAGAGGCAGCAAAAGUGGUGAACUGCCCAUCUUUGUGACAAGCGUGCAGCCUCACGGGUGUUUGGCAAGAGACGGCAGGAUUAAACGAGGUGAUGUGCUGCUGAACAUCAAUGGCAUUGAUCUGACCAACCUGAGUCACAGUGAGGCCGUGGCCAUGCUGAAGGCUAGUGCUGCCUCUUCAGUAGUUGCCCUGAAAGCCCUGGAAGUCCAGAUUGUAGAAGAGCAGCCCCAGGUUAAU